GUUCAGGAGGUCAAGGACGUCUUUUCAAAUCAACCGGCUCCAGGAAGAUGGCUAAAUAAUAUAGGACUGCUAUGACUCCUCUGGAGGGAAUAUAUAAAUAAAGAAGAAGAGUUCCAUAAUUAAAUUUGCUGAACACAAUAUUUCGGUAUCUCGCAUACCUUCAACGGGUUCGAAAUUUGGAUUGCAAACGGAAACCAGUCUCAGAUGUAAAAGAAAUGAACCAGUUUAAAAUCGGAGUUAUUCCUCCUAUGGAUGUCCCUACAAACACACCAAAGUUUAAUGAAACCACAAGAUGCUAGUUCAGUUUUCAGGAGUAGGUCCAUCUCAUUCUCUCACACACAUAUACACAUCAAUUCCCCACCAUCAUUUCCUAUUGUAAUAUCACUUGCUGUAAUAUC